rnacentral:rRNA from 1 species
GACGAACGCUGGCGGCGUGCUUAACACAUGCAAGUCGAACGGAAAGGCCCUGCUUUUGUGGGGUGCUCGAGUGGCGAACGGGUGAGUAACACGUGAGUAACCUGCACUUGACUUUGGGAUAACUUCAGGAAACUGGGGCUAAUACAGGAUAGGAGCUCCUGCUGCAUGGUGGGGGUUGGAAAGUUUCGGCGGUUGGGGAUGGACUCGCGGCUUAUCAGCUUGUUGGUGGGGUAGUGGCUUACCAAGGCUUUGACGGGUAGCCGGCCUGAGAGGGUGACCGGCCACAUUGGGACUGAGAUACGGCCCAGACUCCUACGGGAGGCAGCAGUGGGGAAUAUUGCACAAUGGGCGGAAGCCUGAUGCAGCAACGCCGCGUGCGGGAUGACGGCCUUCGGGUUGUAAACCGCUUUCGCCUGUGACGAAGCGUGAGUGACGGUAAUGGGUAAAGAAGCACCGGCUAACUACGUG